UUAAGUGAAUAAGGGCGCACGGUGGAUGCCUUGGCACUAGGAGCCGAUGAAGGACGGGACUAACACCGAUAUGCUUUGGGGAGCUGUAAGUAAGCUAUGAUCCAGAGAUUUCCGAAUGGGGGAACCCAAUAUCUUUUAUAGGAUAUUACUUUUCAGUGAAUACAUAGCUGAUUAGAGGUAGACGCAGAGAACUGAAACAUCUUAGUACCUGCAGGAAGAGAAAGAAAAUUCGAUUCCCUGAGUAGCGGCGAGCGAAACGGGAAGAGCCCAAACCAACAAGCUUGCUUGUUGGGGUUGUAGGACUCCAAUAUGGUAGUCUGUUAGUAUAGUUGAAGGAUUUGGAAAAUUCCGCUAAAGAGGGUGAAAGCCCCGUAGACGAAAUGCUAACAACACCUAGGAGGAUCCUGAGUACGGCGGAACACGAGAAAUUCCGUCGGAAUCCGCGGGGACCAUCCCGCAAGGCUAAAUACUCCCUAGUGACCGAUAGUGAACCAGUACCGUGAGGGAAAGGUGAAAAGCACCCCGGAAGGGGAGUGAAAUAGAUCCUGAAACCGUGUGCCUACAACAAGUCAAAGCUCGUUAAUGAGUGAUGGCGUGCCUUUUGUAGAAUGAACCGGCGAGUUACGAUUGCAUGCGAGGUUAAGUCGAAGAGACGGAGCCGCAGCGAAAGCGAGUCUGAAUAGGGCGAAUGAGUAUGUAGUCGUAGACCCGAAACCAUGUGAUCUACCCAUGUCCAGGUUGAAGGUGCGGUAAAACGCACUGGAGGACCGAACCCACGUACGUUGAAAAGUGCGGGGAUGAGGUGUGGGUAGCGGAGAAAUUCCAAACGAACUUGGAGAUAGCUGGUUCUCUCCGAAAUAGCUUUAGGGCUAGCCUCGGAAUUGAGAAUGAUGGAGGUAGAGCACUGUUUGGACUAGGGGCCCAUCUCGGGUUACCGAAUUCAGAUAAACUCCGAAUGCCAUUCAUUUAUAUCCGGGAGUCAGACUGCGAGUGAUAAGAUCCGUAGUCGAAAGGGAAACAGCCCAGACCACCAGCUAAGGUCCCAAAAUAUAUGUUAAGUGGAAAAGGAUGUGGGGUUGCACAGACAACUAGGAUGUUGGCUUAGAAGCAGCCACCAUUUAAAGAGUGCGUAAUAGCUCACUAGUCGAGUGACCCUGCGCCGAAAAUGUACCGGGGCUAAACAUAUUACCGAAGCUGUGGACUACACCAUUAGGUGUAGUGGUAGGAGAGCGUUCUAAGGGCGUUGAAGGUCGAUCGUGAGGACGGCUGGAGCGCUUAGAAGUGAGAAUGCCGGUAUGAGUAGCGAAAGACAGGUGAGAAUCCUGUCCACCGUAUGACUAAGGUUUCCUGGGGAAGGCUCGUCCGCCCAGGGUUAGUCGGGACCUAAGCCGAGGCCGAUAGGCGUAGGCGAUGGACAACAGGUUGAUAUUCCUGUACCAGUUGUUUUUGUUUGAGCAAUGGAGGGACGCAGUAGGCUAAGGAAUGCAUGCGAUUGGAAGUGCAUGUCCAAGCAAUGAGUCUUGAGUAGAGUUAAAUGCUUUACUCUUUAAGGACAAGUUGUGACGGGGAGCGAAAUAAUAGUAGCGAAGUUCCUGAUGUCACACUGCCAAGAAAAGCUUCUAGUGAGAAAAUAACUGCCCGUACCGUAAACCGACACAGGUAGUCGAGGAGAGUAUCCUAAGGUGAGCGAGCGAACUCUCGUUAAGGAACUCGGCAAAAUGACCCCGUAACUUCGGGAGAAGGGGUGCUGACGACCGUCAGCCGCAGUGAAUAGGCCCAAGCGACUGUUUAUCAAAAACACAGGUCUCUGCAAAAUCGUAAGAUGAAGUAUAGGGGCUGACGCCUGCCCGGUGCUGGAAGGUUAAGAGGAUGGGUUAGCUUCGGCGAAGCUCAGAAUUGAAGCCCCAGUAAACGGCGGCCGUAACUAUAACGGUCCUAAGGUAGCGAAAUUCCUUGUCGGGUAAGUUCCGACCCG
rnacentral:rRNA from 1 species